rnacentral:rRNA from 1 species
GUGCCAGCAGCCGCGGCGGNUGACACGAAAGGAGCUAGCGUUGUUCGGAAUUACUGGGCGUAAAGCGCACGUAGGCGGGCCCGCCAAGUUAGAGGUGAAAGCCCGGGGCUCAACCCCGGAAUUGCCUUUAAAACUGGCGAGCUAGAGAUUGCGAGAGGUGAGUGGAAUUCCGAGUGUAGAGGUGAAAUUCGUAGAUAUUCGGAAGAACACCAGUGGCGAAGGCGACUCACUGGCGCAAUACUGACGCUGAUGUGCGAAAGCGUGGGGAGCAAACAGGAUUAGAUACCCUGGUAGUCCACGCCGUAAACGAUGAGGGCUAGUUGUCGGCAUGCAUGCAUGUCGGUGACGCAGCUAACGCAUUAAGCCCUCCGCCUGGGGAGUACGGUCGCAAGAUUAAAACUCAAAUGAAUUGACGG